rnacentral:rRNA from 1 species
CAGCAGCCGCGGUAACACGUAGGUGGCAAGCGUUGUCCGGAAUUAUUGGGCGUAAAGGGCUCGCAGGCGGUUUCUUAAGUCUGACGUGAAAGCCCCCGGCUCAACCGGGGAGGGUCAUUGGAAACUGGGAAACUUGAGUGCAGAAGAGGAGAGUGGAAUUCCACGUGUAGCGGUGAAAUGCGUAGAGAUGUGGAGGAACACCAGUGGCGAAGGCGACUCUCUGGUCUGUAACUGACGCUGAGGAGCGAAAGCGUGGGGAGCGAACAGGAUUAGAGACCCCCGUAGUCCCUGUCUCUUAUAC